rnacentral:rRNA from 1 species
CACGCCGUAAACGGUGGGUACUAGGUGUGGGUUCCUUUUCACGGGAUCCGUGCCGUAGCUAACGCAUUAAGUACCCCGCCUGGGGAGUACGGCCGCAAGGCUAAAACUCAAAGGAAUUGACGGGGGCCCGCACAAGCGGCGGAGCAUGUGGAUUAAUUCGAUGCAACGCGAAGAACCUUACCUGGGUUUGACAUACACCAGACGCAUUCAGAGAUGGAUGUUCCCUUGUGGUUGGUGUACAGGUGG